rnacentral:rRNA from 1 species
UACGGAGGGUGCGAGCGUUGUCCGGAAUCACUGGGCGUAAAGGGCGCGUAGGCGGCUUCUCAAGCGUGUGGUGAAAGUCCGGGGCUCAACCCCGGAUCGGCCGUGCGGACUGGGGAGCUCGAGUUCUGUAGAGGCGGGUGGAAUUCCGGGUGUAGCGGUGGAAUGCGUAGAGAUCCGGAAGAACACCGGUGGCGAAGGCGGCUCGCUGGGCAGUGGCUGACGCUGAGGCGCGAAAGCGUGGGGAGCAAACAGG